CAAAACUUCAUCGAUAAUGGGCGUCUACCUAUCGGAUUGACUCCUUUUGCCAUGAAUAACCAGUUCUUGGUUCUUCCAAACGAGCUUCAUCGUCUGGUGAAGAGUAGAAGACACAGCUCCAGCCAUUUGGAUGAAAGGCCUUCCAUAAAGAAGGUUAUAGCUGGUGUUAAUGUCCAAUACAUGAAACUGUACACUGAACUCCGUCAGACCCAUUUGGAUGACCAAAUUCACCGCUCUCAACAUAUCUCUCUGUACUCCGUCGAAUGCUCUUACAUUGACCUGGUUUUG
rnacentral:misc_RNA from 1 species